rnacentral:rRNA from 1 species
GACGGAAGGUGCAAGCGUUGCUCGGAAUCACUGGGCGUAAGGGUGCGUAGGUGGAUUAGUAAGUCAGUGGUGAAAUCUCCGGGCUUAACCCGGAAACUGCCAUUGAUACUAUUAGUCUUGAAUACCGUGGAGGUCAGCGGAAUAUGUCAUGUAGCGGUGAAAUGCUUAGAUAUGACAUAGAACACCAAUUGCGAAGGCAGCUGGCUACACGAGCAUUGACACUCAGGCACGAAAGCGUGGGGAUCAAACAGG